UAUAGGUAGAGCCAAACUCAGUCCAACGCAUAUGAUGAACAAAACUGCAACAGAAAGUAGAAUAUAAACAGUGACAGGGGAGAUGGAUAUAUGGUUUAGGGGGAUAUCGGUAUUCCUAAAUCGUGGGGCGCUCAACAGGAAAACUACGUAAUGCGUUUUAAUGAACAUGGCAGCAUUAUUUAUUACACGUGGAAGGAGAUUAGGUGUUUUACUGACUGUGUCCACCUCAACAGUGACAAUGCAUGGUCAAAUGAUAAUUAAGCGACCGCUGCACACUCGACCAGAACAAAGGCGAAGCUGGUUUGAAAGAAUUGGACCUUGAAACAAACUUUCAUGAGUUCGUGUCCAAAAAAUACCUGAUCUGAUUGAACAAAGUUAGUAUAUAGUAUAUAAAGAGAUUGGUUUAGAGAGUUUACAGAAUGGAAGGUACAAACACAACCAUAAAUUCUUUUGUUAAAUAACAAAGUAACAUGUUUGAAAUUCUACAACCUUACAUAUUAACAUAAUAUGAGGCAGACAAGAGUGUUCAAUGCGCCUCGUCCAGGAAUCACUUCAUUUUCUCAUAUGGAAGAGUACCAAUACAAUGUUUACCAAUAUAACAAAUCUCUUUACUUUUAAAAGUGAAAAAUAAUUGUAGGGGGCACAGGUCAAAUACUCUCCUUAACGGUAAAGCUAAUAUGGUAGAUUUACAGAACAUACACUAGUGCUACAAGAAGGUUUAGAUAGAAUAGUUAAGCUCAAGCUUGCAUGAGGACAUAUUUGGCAGGAUACUGAAUCCAGGGCCUCAACCCUGGCAGCAGUCCAAAUUGUUAAAUGUUCUGGGGCAUUAAAAUUUCUUGUACCUAAAAAAAAAA